UGGGGAAUUUUCCGCAAUGGGCGAAAGCCUGAUGCAGCCACGCCGUGUGGAGGAAGAAGGCCUUCGGGUUGUAAACUCCUUUCAGCAGGGAAGAAGCGCAAGUGACGGUACCUGCAGAAGAAGCCCCGGCCAACUACGUGCCAGCAGCCGCGGUAAUACGUAGGGGGCGAGCGUUGUCCGGAAUUAUUGGGCGUAAAGCGCGUGUAGGCGGCCCGCUAAGUCGGCUGUGAAAUCCUGGGGCUCAACCCCAGAACUGCAGUCGAUACUGACGGGCUUGAGGUAGCUAGAGGAGAGUGGAAUUCCCAGUGUAGCGGUGGAAUGCGCAGAUAUUGGGAGGAACACCAACGGCGAAGGCAGCUCUCUGGAGCUCACCUGACGCUGAGACGCGAAAGCAUGGGUAGCAAACAGGAUUAGAUACCCCCGUAGUCC
rnacentral:rRNA from 1 species